CCACAGCUGCAGGGGUCAGGCGGGAGUCAGCGCAGGGCCACAGACCCCGGACCUACCUGCUGUGGCCCCAGCCAGCCCGAGGGGGUCAGAGUGCCAGCAGCCCCGUGAGGCCGAGGGGACACAGCGAGCUGGACACGGGGCCUUCCUGCCCAAGGAGAGCGCCACCCUGCCUCCCCCGAGGGCGGGCACCCAGCGCAGGGUCAGAGAGCAUGCCCUGACCGGGGACCAGCCUGGGGGGCAGACACUGAGGCCAAGGACCUGGCCAGAGCCCACAGGACCACGAGCCCUGCCCAGACCAGACCUGGCGCUCCAAGGCAGGGAAAGGUGGGCGUGACGGGGUCUCAGCUAGAACCUCUGGGACUGCAGGCCAGCCCCACCCAAGGCCAGCCUGACCUUCCCUCCUGCAGGGCCCAGGUGUUUGGGCAGAAUGUUGCCAGAGCGGGCACCAUUCCCCAGCCACAGGCAUUAUCAAGUACUAGAGCUCUUCACCCCACGGACGUCCAGCACACAGCACAAGUGCACGCUGCGGCCGAGGGGAAGGCCUCCUAGGAGAGGACGGGGCCAGGCACAGAACGAGCUCCCCAGGCCCAGCUGGUGCCUGCCUGGCCGAGCCCGGGAGAGAAAGCCCACCCUGCGGAGCCGAGCCCGCCGCUCCAGCCUCAGCCCUGUCCUGGUUCCUCGGGGGCCUGAGUGGGGCCCACAGCUGACUCACUGAGAAGAGAUGCGUCUGAAGCGUGCGGGGCAACGUGGGAGGACGAUCUGUCUGACUCCCUUCCUCAUCUCCCAGCCUCGACCCUGCCUGCGCUCGCCCCCUUGGGUCCUUUGAGUCUCAUCCAGAGCACUGGGCUGCCUUCCGGGGUGGGUGUUGACCCAAGCUCUGCUCCGCCUGGCCCUCAUGCUGCUGGUUGGAACCCGGGAUCCCUGGUCACUGGCUGCAGAUGAGUAACCUCCAGCCUCAAGGGCACUUGGCUGGAGUGAACAUGGUGCUUACGGCUCACUGUGGUGACCCAGGCAGAGACCAUGACGACUCUUGGUGUCAGGGUGAGAUUUCUGUGUGCUCCAUGAUGACUCGUGGAUAUUAAUAAAACAGUGAAGAACUGCA